rnacentral:rRNA from 1 species
AGCAGCCGCGGUAAUUCCAGCUCCAAUAGCGUAUAUUAAAGUUGUUGCAGUUAAAAAGCUCGUAGUUGAAUUUCGGGAUCAAUUUAUUGGUCGUGCUAUUGUACGUACUGGUAUUAUUGAUUCCUACCUUCUGACGAACCAUGAUGUCAUUAAUUUGGUGUCUUGGGGAAUCAGGACUGUUACUUUGAAAAAAUUAGAGUGUUUAAAGCAGGCUCACGCUUGAAUACAUUAGCAUGGAAUAACGAAAUAGGACGUUUGAUUCUAUUUUGUUGGUUUCUAGGAUCGACGUAAUGAUUAAUAGGGAUAGUUGGGGGCAUUAGUAUUCAAUUGUCAGAGGUGAAAUUCUUGGAUUUAUUGAAGACUAACUACUGCGAAAGCAUUUGCCAAGGAUGUUUUCAUUAAUCAAGAACGAAAGUUAGGGGAUCGAAGACGAUCAGAUACCGUCGUAGUCUUAACCAUAAACUAUGCCGACUAGGGAUCGGAUGAUGUUAAUUUUUUAAUGACUCAUUCGGCGCCUUAC